ensembl:lncRNA
UCCCCCUCUGGUUCGUCAAGGUACAAACCCUAACCCUACUACGUAGCCUUCCUCCCCUCUGCUUCGUCAAGGUACUAACCCUUACUACGUAGCCUUCCUCCCCCUCUGCUUGUCAAGGUACUAACCCUUACUACGUAGCCUUCCUCCCCCUCUGCUUCGUCAAGGUACAAACCUAACCCUUACUACGUAGCCUUCCUCCCCUCUGCUUCGUCAAGGUAAAACCCUAACCCUUACUACAUAGCCUUCCUCCCUCGCUUCGUCAAGGUACAAACCCUAACCCUUCCUACGUAGCCUUCCUCCCCUCUGCUUCUCAAGGUUACAAACCUACCUUACUACGCUAGCCUUCCUCCCCCUCUGCUUCGUCAGGUACAACAACCCUUACUACGUAGCCUUCCCCCCCUCUUCGUCAAGGUAAAACCCUAACCCUUACUACGUAGCCUUCCUCCCCCUCUGCUUCGUCAAGGUACAAACCCUAACCCUUAAUACGUAGCCUUCCUCCCCCUCUGCUUCGUCAAGGUACAAACCCUAACCCUAUACUGCUAGCCUUCCUCCCCCUUGCUUCGUCAAGGUAAAACCUAACCCUUACUACGUAGCCUCUCCUCCCCUCUGCUUCGUCAAGGUACAAACCCUAACCCUUACUACGUCGCUUCCUCCCCCUCGUCGUCAAGGUACAAACCCUAACCCUUACUAGGAGCCUUCCUCCCCCUCGUGCUCGUCAAGGUACUAACCCUACUACAUAGCCUUCCUCCCCCUGCUUAGUCAACCGGUACUAACCCUUAACGUAGCCUUCCUCCCCUCUGCUUCGUACAGUUAACCAACCCUUACUACGUAGCCUUCUCCCCUCUGCUUCGUCAAGGUACAAACCCUAACCCUUAACUACGUAGCCUUCCUCCCCCUCUGCUUCGUCAAGGUACAAACCCUAACCCUUACUACGUAGCCUUCCUCCCCCUCUGCUUCGUCAAGGUACAAACCCUAACCCUUACUACGUAGCCUUCCUCCCUGCUUUCAAGGUACGUCACACUCCUCCUCUCCCUCGCUCCUCCACUCUUUCCCUCCCUCCUCCUUCUUCUCCCCUCGGGUACUCAUUUCCCCUCCCCGUUAUCCAGGAACUGUCAAACCUCCUGGUACUCAUAUUCCCUCCCUGUUAUCCAAGGAACUGUCAACCCUGCUGGUACUCAUCUCCCCUCCCUGUUUCCAAGGAAACGUCAACCCUGCUGGUACUCAUCUCCCCUCCCCGUUAUCCAAGGAACUGUCAACCCUGCUGGUACUUCAUCUCCACUCCCGUUAUCCAAGGAAAUGUCAACCCUGCUUGGUACUCAUCUCCCCUCCCCUUAGUCUUUGUGUGUUCACAGUUUCCUCCUUCAGUCUCCAGGUAUCCUAGGUGUGUCUCCUGCGUUGUUGUUAAGGCCCCUGAACCUACAACGUGGUCUUCUCUCUCCCCUCAGAGUACCCAGUACUAUGACAUGCGCUGGUCCUUUGAGCACCUGAUCAUGGUGUGGAUCAAUGCGUUUGUGAUGCUGAUGAGCCAGCUGUUACCUCCCAGCUCUGUGACUGCCUGCACCGCUCUGCAGCCCACCUGGGGCGCUGGCAGAAGCUGGAGAAGGAUUCUCAGAAGCGCCACAGCUAGCUGGUCCCCACACCACACACACAACUUCUACAGCAGGCACAGCACGCCGUAG